AAGAAUUUAAGUUAAAUAAACUAUUGACCUUCAAAGUCAAAAUUAAAUCUUUUUUAAUUCUUA
rnacentral:tRNA from 1 species